rnacentral:rRNA from 1 species
UACCUACGGGUGGCUGCAGUGGGGAAUAUUGGACAAUGGGCGAAAGCCUGAUCCAGCAAUGCCGCGUGGGUGAUGAAGGCCUUAGGGUUGUAAAGCUCUUUUACCCGGGAAGAUAAUGACUGUACCGGGAGAAUAAGCCCCGGCUAACUCCGUGCCAGCAGCCGCGGUAAUACGGAGGGGGCUAGCGUUGUUCGGAAUUACUGGGCGUAAAGCGCACGUAGGCGGCUUUGUAAGUUAGAGGUGAAAGCCUGGGGCUCAACUCCAGAAUUGCGUUUAAGACUGCAUCGCUUGAACGUCGGAGAGGUGAGUGGAAUUCCGAGUGUAGAGGUGAAAUUCGUAGAUAUUCGGAAGAACACCAGUGGCGAAGGCGGCUCACUGGACGACUGUUGACGCUGAGGUGCGAAAGCGUGGGGAGCAAACAGGAUUAGAUACCCGAGUAGUC